rnacentral:rRNA from 1 species
GACGAACGCUGGCGGCGUGCUUAACACAUGCAAGUGGAGCGACGAACCGGGGCUUGCCCCGGGGCAGAGCCGCGAACGGGUGAGUAACACGUGGGUAACCCACCCCGAUGACCGGGACAACCCGAGGAAACUCGGGCUAAUACCGGAUGUGCUCCUUGACCAUGAGGUCAAGGCGUAAAGAUAGCUUCGGCCUUCGCAUCGGGACGGGCCCGCGGCCCAUUAGCUUGUUGGUGGGGUAAAGGCCUACCAAGGCGACGAUGGGUAGCUGGUCUGAGAGGACGAUCGGCCCCACUGGAACUGAGACCCGGCCCAGACUCCUACGGGAGGCAGCAGUGGGGAAUCUUGCGCAAUGCGCGAAAGCGUGACGCAGCAACGCCGCGUGGGGGAAGAAGGCCUUCGGGUUGUAAACCCCUUUCAGUUGGGACGAAGCUUCGCCGGUGAAUAGCCGGCUGGAGUGACGGUACCUUCACAAGAAGCCCCGGCUAACUACGUGCCAGCAGCCGCCGUAAAAC